rnacentral:rRNA from 1 species
CCUACGGGAGGCAGCAGUGAGGAAUAUUGGUCAAUGGCCGGAAGGCUGAACCAGCCAAGCCGCGUGAAGGACGACGGUGCCAAGCAUUGUAAACUUCUUUUGUCCAGGGACAAACUCAGGCUCGAGAGCCUGACCGAGAGUACCUGACGAAUAAGCAUCGGCUAACUCCGUGCCAGCAGCCGCGGUAAUACGGAGGAUUCGAGCGUUAUCCGGAUUUAUUGGGUUUAAAGGGUGCGUAGGCGGAAUGUAAAGUUAGCGGGAAAAAUCCGGGGCUCAACUCCGUCGUGCCGUUGAAACUGAUGUGCUUGAGAGGGCGAGAAGUAGGCGGAAUGCGUGGUGUAGCGGUGAAAUGCAUAGAUAUCACGCAGAACACCGAUUGCGAAGGCAGCAUACC